CCUACGGGUGGCAGCAGUGGGGAAUAUUGCACAAUGGGCGAAAGCCUGAUGCAGCAACGCCGCGUGAGCGAUGAAGGCCUUCGGGUCGUAAAGCUCUGUCCUCAAGGAAGAUAAUGACGGUACUUGAGGAGGAAGCCCCGGCUAACUACGUGCCAGCAGCCGCGGUCAUACGGAGGAUGCGAGCGUUAUCCGGAUUUAUUGGGUUUAAAGGGUGCGUAGGCGGACUGUUAAGUCAGCGGUAAAAGCCCGGGGCUCAACCCCGGCGAGCCGUUGAAACUGGCUGUCUUGAGAUGUCGAGAGGUAUGCGGAAUGCGCAGUGUAGCGGUGAACUGCUUAGAUAUUGCGCAGAACUCCGAUUGCGAAGGCAGCAUACCGGCGGCGAUCUGACGCUGAGGCACGAAAGCGUGGGUAUCGAACAGGAUUAGAUACCCUGGUAGUC
rnacentral:rRNA from 1 species